rnacentral:lncRNA from 1 species
AGCAGUUUCUUAAUAUUUCAUCUUUGAGUUUGAUCGUUAUAGCAACUGAUGUUUGAUCUUUGUUAUGGCAUUCGCUUUUACGUUUGCCACAUGUGGAGCAGGAUCUGCUUACCCUCCGUAGCACCUGAGAUCACUACCAGUUUUUGGUGGGGUUUGUGUUGCUUAGUCUUUAGUUUUCUACACAGUUUAAAUACCACAUCAAUAAAAAAAAUCCGUAAAACGAUUUACACUAGUUUUACCCGUACGUUUUACGGAUUAAUUUAUACAGAUGUUUUACGGAGGUAACCGUAACAUCCGUUAUACAUCCGUAUAACGGAUGUUUUACUGACAUUUAUUACCACAUCCAUGAUACGUCCGUAGCUAUUUUACCUGUGUAUGUGUUGUGUGUUGUGUAUUAUUAUUUUUCUGUCUUUUUUUAGCCAUGGCGUUGUCAGUUUAUUUCCGAUCUUUGAGUUUGACGGUACCUCUGUAUCAUUCGCCUCCCUUCUAUUUGUUGUUUGCUUUUCUUUUUUUUUUUUUUUUACUUUUUCGUUGUAGUGCUUAACUUUUUGUGCUAUAUUAUAGUAUUCUGUCU